rnacentral:piRNA from 1 species
UCCCCAUGACUCAAUCAAGGACUGUGCUA